GUUAUAGGGUCAAGCGAAUAAGUGCAUGUGGUGGAUGCCUUGGCGAUCACAGGCGAUGAAGGACGUAGUAGCUUGCGAAAAGCUGCGGGGAGCUGGCAAACGAGCUUUGAUCCGCAGAUGUCCGAAUGGGGAAACCCGGCCCGUAUGGGUCAUCCCUUGCUGAAUACAUAGGCAAGGGAGGCGAACGCAGUGAACUGAAACAUCUAAGUAGCUGCAGGAAAAGAAAUCAACCGAGAUUCCCAGAGUAGUGGCGAGCGAAAUGGGAACAGCCUUGUACUCUUUAGCAGUAUUGUUAGCGGAACGGAAUGGAAAGUCCGGUCAUAGUGGGUGAUAGCCCCGUACGCGAAAACAGUAUUGUGGAACUAGGUGUACGACAAGUAGGGCGGGACACGUGAAAUCCUGUCUGAAGAUGGGGGGACCAUCCUCCAAGGCUAAAUACUCGUGAUCGACCGAUAGUGAACCAGUACCGUGAGGGAAAGGCGAAAAGAACCCCGGGAGGGGAGUGAAAUAGAUCCUGAAACCGCAUGCAUACAAACAGUCGGAGCCUGGAAACGGGUGACGGCGUACCUUUUGUAUAAUGGGUCAGCGACUUACAUUCAGUGGCAAGCUUAACCGAUUAGGGAAGGCGUAGCGAAAGCGAGUCCGAAUAGGGCGUUCAGUCGCUGGGUGUAGACCCGAAACCAAGUGAUCUAUCCAUGGCCAGGUUGAAGGUGCGGUAACACGUACUGGAGGACCGAACCCACUAACGUUGAAAAGUUAGGGGAUGAGCUGUGGAUAGGGGUGAAAGGCUAAACAAACUUGGAAAUAGCUGGUUCUCUCCGAAAACUAUUUAGGUAGUGCCUCGUGUCUCACCUUCGGGGGUAGAGCACUGUCAUGGUUGGGGGGUCUAUUGCUGAUUACCCCGCCAUAGCAAACUCCGAAUACCGAAGAGUGCAAUCACGGGAGACAGACAUCGGGUGCUAACGUCCGGUGUCAAGAGGGAAACAACCCAGACCGCCAGCUAAGGUCCCUAAGAUUGGCUAAGUGGGAAACGAAGUGGGAAGGCUAAAACAGUCAGGAGGUUGGCUUAGAAGCAGCCACCCUUUAAAGAAAGCGUAAUAGCUCACUGAUCGAGUCGUCCUGCGCGGAAGAUGUAACGGGGCUAAGCCAGUCACCGAAGCUGCGGAUGCACGUAAGUGCAUGGUAGGAGAGCGUUCUGUAAGCCUGUGAAGGUGUCUUGUAAAGGAUGCUGGAGGUAUCAGAAGUGCGAAUGCUGACAUGAGUAGCGAUAAAGGGGGUGAAAGGCCCCCUCGCCGUAAGCCCAAGGUUUCCUACGCAACGUUCAUCGGCGUAGGGUGAGUCGGCCCCUAAGGCGAGGCAGAGAUGCGUAGCUGAUGGGAAGCAGGUUAAUAUUCCUGCACCGUCGUAUGAUGCGAUGGGGGGACGGAUCGCGGAAGGUUGUCCGGGUGUUGGAAGUCCCGGUCCCUACAUUGGAGAUGGCACUUAGGCAAAUCCGGGUGCGUGAUUCAAGGGUGUGGGGCGAGCGACGUUAGGUCGCGAAGCAAUUGGAAGUGGUUCCAAGAAAAGCCUCUAAGCUUCAGUCAUACGAGACCGUACCGCAAACCGACACAGGUGGGCGAGAUGAGUAUUCUAAGGCGCUUGAGAGAACUCGGGAGAAGGAACUCGGCAAAUUGGUACCGUAACUUCGGGAUAAGGUACGCCCUUGUAGUUUGACUGGCUCGCGCCAGAAGGAUGAAGGGGUUGCAAUAAAAUGGUGGCUGCGACUGUUUAAUAAAAACACAGCACUCUGCAAACACGAAAGUGGACGUAUAGGGUGUGACGCCUGCCCGGUGCCGGAAGAUUAAAUGAUGGGGUGCAAGCUCUUGAUUGAAGUCCCGGUAAACGGCGGCCGUAACUAUAACGGUCCUAAGGUAGCGAAAUUCCUUGUCGGGUAAGUUCCGACCUGCACGAAUGGCGUAACGAUGGCCACACUGUCUCCUCCCGAGACUCAGCGAAGUUGAAGUGUUUGUGAUGAUGCAAUCUCCCCGCGGCUAGACGGAAAGACCCCAUGAACCUUUACUGUAGCUUUGCAUUGGACUUUGAACCGAUCUGUGUAGGAUAGGUGGGAGGCUUUGAAACCGGGACGCUAGUUUCGGUGGAGCCGACCUUGAAAUACCACCCUGGUUUGUUUGAGGUUCUAACCUUGGCCCGUGAAUCCGGGUCGGGGACAGUGCAUGGUAGGCAGUUUGACUGGGGCGGUCUCCUCCCAAAGUGUAACGGAGGAGUUCGAAGGUACGCUUGGUACGGUCGGACAUCGUACCUAAAGUGCAAUGGCAAAAGCGUGCUUAACUGCGAGACCGACAAGUCGAGCAGGUGCGAAAGCAGGACAUAGUGAUCCGGUGGUUCUGUAUGGAAGGGCCAUCGCUCAACGGAUAAAAGGUACUCUGGGGAUAACAGGCUGAUACCGCCCAAGAGUUCAUAUCGACGGCGGUGUUUGGCACCUCGAUGUCGGCUCAUCUCAUCCUGGGGCUGUAGCCGGUCCCAAGGGUAUGGCUGUUCGCCAUUUAAAGAGGUACGUGAGCUGGGUUUAAAACGUCGUGAGACAGUUUGGUCCCUAUCUGCCGUGGGCGUUGGAAUCUUGACGGGGGCUGCUCCUAGUACGAGAGGACCGGAGUGGACGUACCGCUGGUGUACCUGUUGUCUCGCCAGAGGCAUCGCAGGGUAGCUAUGUACGGAAGAGAUAACCGCUGAAAGCAUCUAAGCGGGAAACUCGCCUGAAGAUGAGGAUUCCCUGGAGACUUGAUCUCCCUGAAGGGUCGUUCGAGACCAGGACGUUGAUAGGCUGGGUGUGGAAGCGCAGUAAUGCGUUCAGCUAACCAGUACUAAUUGCCCGUGCGGCUUGAUCCUAUAACC
rnacentral:rRNA from 1 species